UAGGGAAUAUUGGGCAAUGGGCGCAAGCCUGACCCAGCAACGCCGCGUGAGGGAAGAAGGUUUUCGGAUUGUAAACCUCUGUCCUAUGUGACGAAGGAAGUGACGGUAGCAUAGGAGGAAGCCCCGGCUAACUACGUGCCAGCAGCCGCGGUAAUACGUAGGGGGCGAGCGUUGUCCGGAAUUACUGGGCGUAAAGGGUGCGUAGGCGGUGCAACAAGUUAGGAGUGAAAUCCCGAGGCUUAACCUCGGAACUGCUUUUAAAACUGUUGUGCUUGAGUGAUGGAGAGGAAAGCGGAAUUCCUAGUGUAGCGGUGGAAUGCGUAGAUAUUAGGAGGAACACCAGAGGCGAAGGCGGCUUUCUGGACAUUAACUGACGCUGAGGCACGAAAGUGUGGGGAGCAAACAGGAUUAGAUACCCUGGUAGU
rnacentral:rRNA from 1 species